rnacentral:rRNA from 1 species
CCUACGGGAGGCAGCAGUGGGGAAUAUUGCACAAUGGGCGAAAGCCUGAUGCAGCGACGCCGCGUGAGGGAUGACGGCCUUCGGGUUGUAAACCUCUUUCAGCAGGGAAGAAGCGAAAGUGACGGUACCUGCAGAAGAAGCGCCGGCUAACUACGUGCCAGCAGCCGCGGUAAUACGUAGGGCGCAAGCGUUGUCCGGAAUUAUUGGGCGUAAAGAGCUCGUAGGCGGCUUGUCACGUCCGAUGUGAAAGCCCGGGGCUUAACCCCGGGUCUGCAUUCGAUACGGGCUAGCUAGAGUGUGGUAGGGGAGAUCGGAAUUCCUGGUGUAGCGGUGAAAUGCGCAGAUAUCAGGAGGAACACCGGUGGCGAAGGCGGAUCUCUGGGCCAUUACUGACGCUGAGGAGCGAAAGCGUGGGGAGCGAACAGGAUUAGAUACCCUGGUAGUCCACGCCGUAAACGUUGGGAACUAGGUGUUGGCGACAUUCCACGUCGUCGGUGCCGCAGCUAACGCAUUAAGUUCCCCGCCUGGGGAGUACGGCCGCAGGGGCUAAAACGUCAAAGNGUAGUAGGACGNGUAGAGACGUCGACCGAGCACGACGGAGGAGAGG